rnacentral:SRP_RNA from 2 species
UCUUUAGACCCUUACAAUCAUUUUUAAAGGCAAAGCCCCAGGGUGGGAACACAGCAAGGCACCUUUAUCUUUGGUGUGUUUGGGUAUCUGGAGAAGA